ACUGAUAUGAGUGGGUUUAUUAUUAUUUAAUUUAGCCCCCGUUAAAUCUAUUAAAACAACUUCUAUGAACUUUGUUAACUCAUGAAAUUUUAAUUUUCACAUUUUCUAGUUAUGUAAUUUAACCCAUUCAUAAAUCAUUUUUCUAAAUUUGACACUAACAAUUACUAGUAUUCAUAAAAAAUUAAAAACUACGACUGUCUAACCUUAAUACCAAGCAUCGUUUUAAUCAUCAAUUACAUCAAAUAUUUUCAACAAAUCUAUAGUUAAAGUUUCGACCUCCGUAGAGGACGGCUAGUUUACGAGUCGAGUCCCCGCCACCUACCGCCCUUAAGCUAUAUGGUAUGGAAAUGGGAGUCUGAUUAUUAUGCAAUGCACUUGUGCGCGCGCGCACAUACACACACCUAAUCAUAUUCACCUGUGCACCAUUGAUAAUUAAUAAAUAUCAUUUUCAUUAAUAGGCUCCAUGCAUAAGAUUACUAUUUCGUCUACAAAUACAUAAAAUCUCCAUAAAAUAUACUCGUUAAGGGGACCAGUCGUUACACAAACAAUAAAAAAUGAUAUUAGGUUUGAAAAAAAUAUCAGUAGCUAUAAGGUGAUCUUAUCACUUAGGAUAAUAAAUGAUCAGUCCUUCCCUUUUUUAUUCUUUCUUUUAAAUUCAAAGUAUUGACUUGAUCAAUCUAUCUUAUGUAAAUAUCCAUCGCUCACAAAUAUGGCAAGGCUCAUAUAGUGGGGGUGGUUGAGAGUUGAGACCCACCUACUUAUGUGCUCGAAUCUUUGAACUUUUUUCCUUGUAUUUUUAUAAAAUA
rnacentral:lncRNA from 1 species